ensembl:lncRNA
CUAGGCCUUUUCUCUGCGGCCUUCGUGGCUUUCUUUAAGGCCUGCCGGGGUCGUUCCAUCUUCUGUGGCCCGCCGGGGCUGUUCCAUCUUCUGUGGCCCACCGGGGCCUUUUCUGCGGCCUAUCGUGGCCUCUCUCUCACUGUCUGGCCUAUCGUGGCCUCUCUCUCACUGUCUGGCCUAUCGUGGCCUCUCUCUCACUGUCUGGCCUAUCGUGGCCUCUCUCUCUCACCGUCUGGCCUAUCGUGGCCUCUCUCUCUCACCGUCCGGCCUAUCGUGGCCUCUCUCUCUCACUGUCCGGCCUAUCGUGCCCUGCCCCUCUCUCUCACUGUCCGGCCUACCGUGGCCUGCCUCUCUCUCUCUCUCUCUCUCUCUCACUGUCCGGGCCUAUCGUGGCCUGCCUCUCUCUCUCACUGUCCGGCCUAUCGUGGCCUGCCUCUCUCUCUCCCUGUCCGGCCUAUCGUGGCCUGCCUCUCUCUCUCUCUCACUGUCCGGCCUAUCGUAGCCUGCCUCUCUCUCUCUCUCACUGUCCGGCCUAUCGUGGCCUGCCUCUCUCUCUCUCACUGUCCGGCCUAUCGUGGCCUGCCUCUCUCUCUAUAAGCUAAUACUUUAGCUAUAAUCUGAUGUUGUAUUCUUAUGUUUGGCUAAUUAUCUCAAUUUAUCUCUUUCGUUCUUGUUCCAAGAUCCUCUAAGAAAUACUUAACCCUCUGAAGUCGAUUAACGCGUAUACGCGUUUUGGGGUAUUUUCUCCUGAUAACCCCGAAAAGAACUUAAAUUACACUUUCAGUUUUGAUUGUACAGAUAAGAGCAAUACAGCAAUCGAAUCUGUAAAGGGUCUACUUUUUUUUGUAUACAGACAUAAUAACAACAAAACCUUGUGCACUUAUAAAAUAAAGAUAACAAACAAGGAGUGCUGUCUGCA